CAGUUCGGAUUGCAGGCUGCAACUCGCCUGCAUGAAGCUGGAAUUGCUAGUAAUCGCGGAUCAGCAAGCCGCGGUGAAUACGUUCCCGGGCCUUGUACACACCGCCCGUCACACCAUGAGAGUCGGGAACACCCGAAGUCCGUAGUCUAACCGCAAGGGGGGCGCGGCCGAAGGUGGGUCCGGUAAUUGGGGUGAAGUCGUAACAAGGUAAC
rnacentral:rRNA from 1 species